rnacentral:rRNA from 1 species
AUUGAACGCUGGCGGCAGGCUUAACACAUGCAAGUCGAGCGGAGAUGAGGUGCUUGCACCUUAUCUUAGCGGCGGACGGGUGAGUAAUGCUUAGGAAUCUGCCUAUUAGUGGGGGACAACAUUCCGAAAGGAAUGCUAAUACCGCAUACGUCCAACGGGAGAAAGCAGGGGAUCUUCGGACCUUGCGCUAAUAGAUGAGCCUAAGUCGGAUUAGCUAGUUGGUGGGGUAAAGGCCUACCAAGGCGACGAUCUGUAGCGGGUCUGAGAGGAUGAUCCGCCACACUGGGACUGAGACACGGCCCAGACUCCUACGGGAGGCAGCAGUGGGGAAUAUUGGACAAUGGGGGAAACCCUGAUCCAGCCAUGCCGCGUGUGUGAAGAAGGCCUUAUGGUUGUAAAGCACUUUAAGCGAGGAGGAGGCUACUGAGACUAAUACUCUUGGAUAGUGGACGUUACUCGCAGAAUAAGCACCGGCUAACUCUGUGCCAGCAGCCGCGGUAAUAC